UACGUAGGGUGCGAGCGUUGUCCGGAAUUAUUGGGCGUAAAGAGCUCGUAGGCGGUGUGUCACGUCGGCCGUGAAAACCUGCAGCUUAACUGUGGGCGUGCGGUCGAUACGGGCAUCACUGGAGUUCGGCAGGGGAGACUGGAAUUCCUGGUGUAGCGGUGAGAUGCGCAGAUAUCAGGAAGAACACCCGUGGCGAAGGCGGCUCUCUGGGACGGUACUGACGCUGAGACGCGAAAGCGUGGGGAGCGAACAGG
rnacentral:rRNA from 1 species